AUCUUGCGAGCUGGUCGUACUGUCCGAGCGGGGAGGCUGUCUUGAGGCGGCACCGCUCGCCGACACCGAGGCGGACUGGCAGCCCUGAGCGUCGCAGUCAUGCCGGCCGGACCCGUGCAGGCGGUGCCCCCGCCGCCGCCCGUGGCCACCGAGCCCAAACAGCCCACAGAAGAAGAAGCAUCUUCAAAGGAGGAUUCUGCACCUUCUAAGCCAGUUGUGGGGAUUAUUUACCCUCCUCCAGAGGUCAGAAAUAUUGUUGACAAGACUGCCAGCUUUGUGGCCAGAAACGGGCCUGAAUUUGAAGCUAGGAUCCGACAGAAUGAGAUCAACAACCCCAAGUUCAACUUUCUGAACCCCAAUGACCCUUACCAUGCCUACUACCGCCACAAGGUCAGCGAGUUCAAGGAGGGGAAGGCUCAGGAGCCGUCCGCUGCCAUCCCCAAGGUUAUGCAGCAGCAGCAGCAGGCCACCCAGCAGCAGCUGCCCCAGAAGGUUUGGAGCCCAGUGCCCCCUUCACUUACGCAGGGCUUGAGAGGGAAGCAGGGAUAAGGAGGGGGUACACAAUUAACUCCAAACCUCACAA
rnacentral:sRNA from 1 species